UUUUAUGGAGAGUUUGAUCCUGGCUCAGGAUGAACGCUGGCGGCGUGCCUAAUACAUGCAAGUCGAGCGAACAGACGAGGAGCUUGCUCCUCUGACGUUAGCGGCGGAAGGGUGAGUAACACGUGGAUAACCUACCUAUAAGACUGGGAUAACUUCGGGAAACCGGAGCUAAUACCGGAUAAUAUAUUGAACCGCAUGGUUCAAUAGUGAAAGACGGUUUUGCUGUCACUUAUAGAUGGAUCCGCGCCGCAUUAGCUAGUUGGUAAGGUAACGGCUUACCAAGGCAACGAUGCGUAGCCGACCUGAGAGGGUGAUCGGCCACACUGGAACUGAGACACGGUCCAGACUCCUACGGGAGGCAGCAGUAGGGAAUCUU
rnacentral:rRNA from 1 species